rnacentral:rRNA from 1 species
UACGAAGGGUGCAAGCGUUAAUCGGAAUUAUUGGGCGUAAAGAGCGUGUAGGCGGCCAGGUAGGUCUGCUGUGAAAACUCGAGGCUCAACCUCGAGACGUCGGCGGAAACCAUCUGGCUAGAGUCCGGAAGAGGAGAGUGGAAUUCCUGGUGUAGCGGUGAAAUGCGCAGAUAUCAGGAAGAACACCCGUGGCGAAGGCGGCUCUCUGGGACGGUACUGACGCUGAGACGCGAAAGCGUGGGGAGCGAACAGG